CAGCCGCGGUAACACCGGCGCCACGAGUGGCAACCGCUUUUAUUGGGCCUAAAGCGUCCGUAGNNGGUUUAAUAAAUCUUUUGUGAAAUUGUCGGGCUUAACUUGUCAGCGUGCAGAAGAGACUGUNNNACUAGGGACCGGGAGGAGUUAGAGGUAUNNNGGGGGGAGCGGUAAAAUGUUAUAAUCCCCAGAGGACCACCAGUGGCGAAGGCGUCUAACUAGAACGGAUCCGACAGUGAGGGACGAAGGCCAGGGGAGCAANNNGGAUUAGAUACCCGAGUAGUCNNNGCAGUAAACUCUGUGAGCUAGGUGUUACAUGUCCUNUGAGCGCAUGUAGUGUCGUAGCGAAGGCGUU
rnacentral:rRNA from 1 species